CUGGGGUGCCCCAUGUGUGGGUGCUAAGAACUGGGUAAAGGGGCCUGCUUAGAAAAGAAAACCCAGGAAAGACAGCGAAUUCCAACAUUUCUUUAAAAGUUAACCACAGGCUUAAAUCCAUAAUGUCAUUCCUGGAAGUGACACCUGAAAUGAAGCGGACUUUUUAAUAUCUCAGGCCGUGCAGCUUGUGGGAUCUUAGUUCUCCGAUUAGGCAUCGAACGCUGGCCCCAGCAACACUGAAAGCUCCUGGCCCUUACCACUGGACCACCAGGGAAUUCCCUAUUUACAGGGAUUAAAAAAAAAAAAACCCAAAACUUU